GCGGGGUAUACAAUUUUAUGAAAAUAUAUUUAUGAAGCAUUUUAAACUGAAAAAGUUUUUUAAAUUUUAUGAAGCAUUUUUUUAAAAAUAUAUUCUAAAAUCUAUAUUAUCUCUUCGUUCUGGACAGGAGCGAGAAGCCACUCGACUUUGUUGGGAGCUCUCUCUGUCGGUAUUACCACUGCACUCGGUCAAUGACUCGAACCCAGCGGAAAAGAGUGGAAGAGUGCCUGGAGGUUGGAAACGGGUGCUUAGUAGCCACUGUCAAAUAUUUAUCAAACUCAUACAACUGAGUUUUAAAUAUAGUAGAACUCUGUUCUAUCUUCCAUUGGCAUGUUUAUGAGUUACUGUAUUUAUUCUCUAUGAUGAGGUUAGAAAACAUGUUAACCGAGUAUGAUUAUGUUCUUU